rnacentral:rRNA from 1 species
UUCGCAAUGCCCGAAAGGGUGACGAAGCGACGCCGCGUGUGGGAAGAAGGCCUUCGGGUUGUAAACCACUGUCGGGAGUUAAGAAAUGCGAGGAUAUUAAUAGUGUCUUUGUUUGACUAAGGCUCCGGAGGAAGCCACGGCUAACCCUGUGCCAGCAGCCGCGGUAAUACAGAGGCGGCAAGCGUUGUUCGGAAUUAUUGGGCGUAAAGAGCACGUAGGCGGCUAUGUAAGUCGGUUGUGAAAGCCUUCCGCUCAACGGGUGAACAGCAUCCGAUACUACAUGGCUUGAGUGCGGGAGGGGAGAGUGGAACUUCUGGUGGAGCGGUGAAAUGCGUAGAUAUCAGAAGGAACGCCGGCGGCGAAAGCGGCUCUCUGGCCCAUAACUGACGCUGAGUGUGCGAAAGCUAGGGGAGCAAACGGGAUUAGAUACCCCGGUAGUCCUAGCCGUAAACGAUGGGCACUAAGUAGAGGGGUUUU